GUAAGGGGCAGUUGUAGUUUUCCGCGUUCAACAUUUGACCAUCCGUUUUAUUUGAAAUUUUCUUAUGAUUUGUAUUUUUAUUGUUAUUAGGUGAUAAAACAUGAAUAAUACUUUAUACGUGACUUUUUAAAAAAAAUUAAAUAAGAUGGACGGUUAAACAUUGGAUACGGAAUACCACAACUGCACUUAUA
rfam:Oryza sativa Japonica Group DNA, chromosome 7, cultivar: Nipponbare, complete sequence.